GACGAACGCUGGCGGCGUGCUUAACACAUGCAAGUCGAGCGGUAAGGCCCUUUCGGGGGUACACGAGCGGCGAACGGGUGAGUAACACGUGGGUGGCCUGCCCUCAGCUCUGGGAUAAGCCUGGGAAACCGGGUCUAAUACUGGAUAUGACUCCAUGACGCAUGUUGUGGGGUGGAAAGCCUUGUGCGGCUGAGGAUGGGCCCGCGGCCUAUCAGCUUGUUGGUGGGGUGANGGCCUACCAAGGCGACGACGGGUAGCCGGCCUGAGAGGGCGACCGGCCACACUGGGACUGAGACACGGCCCAGACUCCUACGGGAGGCAGCAGUGGGGAAUCUUGCGCAAUGGGCGAAAGCCUGACGCAGCGACGCCGCGUGAGGGAUGACGGCCUCGG
rnacentral:rRNA from 1 species